AGCGAACGCUGGCGGCAGGCCUAACACAUGCAAGUCGAACGGACCCUUCGGGGUUAGUGGCGGACGGGUGAGUAACACGUGGGAACGUGCCUUUAGGUUCGGAAUAGCUCCUGGAAACGGGUGGUAAUGCCGAAUGUGCCCUUCGGGGGAAAGAUUUAUCGCCUUUAGAGCGGCCCGCGUCUGAUUAGCUAGUUGGUGAGGUAACGGCUCACCAAGGCGACGAUCAGUAGCUGGUCUGAGAGGAUGACCAGCCACACUGGGACUGAGACGCGGCCCAGACUCCUACGGGAGGCAGCAGUGGGGAAUCUUGCGCAAUGGGCGAAAGCCUGACGCAGCCAUGCCGCGUGAAUGAUGAAGGUCUUAGGAUUGUAAAAUUCUUUCACCGGGGACGAUAAUGACGGUACCCGGAGAAGAAGCCCCGGCUAACUUCGUG
rnacentral:rRNA from 1 species